rnacentral:tRNA from 1 species
GGCCGCUUGCUGGAAUUGGUAGACAGACCGGACUUAAAAUCCGAGGCCCUCGGGCGUGUGGGUUCGAGUCCCACAGCGGCCACCA